GUGUCAGCAGCCGCGGUAAUACGUAGGGGGCAAGCGUUAUCCGGAUUUACUGGGUGUAAAGGGAGCGUAGACGGUACGGCAAGUCAGAAGUGAAAGCCCGGGGCUCAACCCCGUGGACUGCUUUUGAAACUGCUAAACUAGAGUGCGGGAGAGGUAAGUGGAAUUCCUAGUGUAGCGGUGAAAUGCGUAGAUAUUAGGAGGAACACCAGUGGCGAAGGCGACUUACUGGACCGUAACUGACGUUGAGGCUCGAAAGCGUGGGGAGCAAACAGGAUUAGAUACCCCCGUAGUCC
rnacentral:rRNA from 1 species